rnacentral:rRNA from 1 species
AGAGUUUGAUCCUGGCUCAGGAUGAACGCUGGCGGUAUGCCUAACACAUGCAAGUCGAACGAUGUCUUAGGACAUAGUGGCGGACGGGUGAGUAACGCGUGAGAAUCUGCCUCUAGGAUGGGGAUAACGGUUGGAAACGACCGCUAACACCCAAUAUGCCGUAAGGUGAAAAAUUUAUUGCCUGGAGAGGAGCUCGCGUCUGAUUAGCUAGUUGGUGGGGUAAGAGCUCACCAAGGCCUCGAUCAGUAGCUGGUCUGAGAGGAUGAGCAGCCACACUGGGACUGAGACACGGCCCAGACUCCUACGGGAGGCAGCAGUGGGGAAUUUUCCGCAAUGGGCGAAAGCCUGACGGAGCAAUACCGCGUGAGGGAGGAAUGCCUUUGGGUUGUAAACCUCUUUUCUCAGGGAAGAAGAUCUGACGGUACCUGAGGAAUAAGUAUCGGCUAACUCCGUGCCAGCAGCCGCGGUAAUACGGAGGAUGCAAGCGUUAUCCGGAAUCAUUGGGCGUAAAGCGUCCGCAGGUGGUUUCCAAAGUCUGCUGUUAAAGACUGGAGCUCAACUCCGGAACGGCGGUGGAAACUUGGAAACUAGAGUUCGGUAGGGGUAGCAGGAAUUCCCAGUGUAGCGGUGAAAUGCGUAGAUAUUGGGAAGAACAUCGGUGGCGAAGGCGUGCUACUGGACCGUAACUGACACUCAGGGACGAAAGCUAGGGGAGCGAAAGGGAUUAGAUACCCCUGUAGUCCUAGCUGUAAACGAUGGAAACUAGGUGUGGCUUGUAUCGACCCGAGCCGUGCCGUAGCUAACGCGUUAAGUUUCCCGCCUGGGGAGUACGCACGCAAGUGUGAAACUCAAAGGAAUUGA